GAUGAGUUGGCCGAGUGGUUAAGGUGAUGGAGUGCUAAUCUAUUGUGCUAUGCAUGCGUGGGUUCGAAUCCCAUCCUCAUCG
rfam:Xenopus tropicalis strain Nigerian Chr03_contig_3630, whole genome shotgun sequence.